rnacentral:rRNA from 1 species
GAGUUUGAUCCUGGCUCAGGAUGAACGCUGGCGGCGUGCUUAACACAUGCAAGUCGAACGAAGCGCCUUAUUUGAUUUUCUUCGGAACUGAAGAUUUGGUGACUGAGUGGCGGACGGGUGAGUAACGCGUGGGUAACCUGCCCUGUACAGGGGGAUAACAAUCAGAAAUGACUGCUAAUACCGCAUAAGACCACAGCACCGCAUGGUGCAGGGGUAAAAACUCCGGUGGUACAGGAUGGACCCGCGUCUGAUUAGCUGGUUGGUGAGGUAACGGCUCACCAAGGCGACGAUCAGUAGCCGGCUUGAGAGAGUGAACGGCCACAUUGGGACUGAGACACGGCCCAAACUCCUACGGGAGGCAGCAGUGGGGAAUAUUGCACAAUGGGGGAAACCCUGAUGCAGCAACGCCGCGUGAGUGAAGAAGUAUUUCGGUAUGUAAAGCUCUAUCAGCAGGGAAGAAAGUGACGGUACCUGACUAAGAAGCCCCGGCUAACUACGUGCCAGCAGCCGCGGUAAC